CCUAAUUCUUCUUUUACCCUGGAAAGAACCAACAGGUUAAAAUAGGGAGUUGCAGGUAAACAUGACUGCAAGCUAGACGCCACAUGCUUCCUCUCCCUGGCACCGAACGAAAUAGAAUACAUCAAAGGAGCAUAAAAAUCACCUUUGGAGGAACCUUUGGAGGCCCCAGUACCCCACAGAGGCAAAGAAAUGAGGAAACUGAGGCUGAGAGAGAUUAAAGAUUUUGUCCAGAGUUUCACAACUAGCAAUUGCCUGAAGCAGUAUUUGAACUCAAGGCUGCCAGUCUAACACUCUAUCCACUGAACCCCUUGACCAACAAAGUAGUAAGUACAUGAUAUAUAAUAAUAGUUUGUGGAUUGAUUGAAAGGGAGCAAUUGCUAGAUAAGAAAAUGUAAGGAAAUUUGCCAGUAAAAUUCCCUUAAAACUCAGACAGGGCUGACUCCACCACUUCCAUUGUCUACAGCAUAAAAUACAAACACUUUAGACAGGCAUCUGAAAUCCUCCACAGUCUAAUUCCUCUUUGCCUUUCCAACUUUGACUCAUAUGUCUUUCAGACUUCUCUCCCUCCUCAUUUUUCCAUGUUUCAUUAUAUGUAUUUGGGCAUAGAUUAUAUCCUCUACUUAA
rnacentral:lncRNA from 1 species